UGUCUACUGACAGUGGCCAAUGCCAAGUGUCCCAGAGGGAGGUGAACCUAACAGAAGUUUGCUAAGUGGCUUUACAGAGGACUUUGCAAUAAGGAAGCAUAUUGUCAUGCUUACUGUUAUAUCAGGACGUGCCACUCGAUGGAGUACAUUUUGAAGAAAAUAUUGAAUAUAAAUACCGGUUUGGCUGAAAAGGGACGUUGCUCAGCGGCUUGUGACUGCAUGGCGAAGAUUGAUAUUGAACGGGGACAGCUUACAGAACGCCUUAUAGGACCUGUGGAUGAUGUGGAGGAAGAGCUGCACAGGAGCAAUGAGAGCCUGGUCCUGCCCAUCUUCUCAGAGUAGCAGCACAAGGGAGGAAGAAC